GCAAGACAAGUAGUCGCGAGAGGUGGAUGGACACCACACUAAAGGCGAGAAGAGGUAGCUUGCCUCUGGCUCCUACCAAAAGGGUGGCUUGGCCCUGUGAUCGUCGAGAGAAGGAUGAGAUCUUGGAAUUAUAUAAGCUGCCAGAGAAUGCUGCAAGGUGCUUUCAACUCUCUUUUUGUUCUCUCUCUCUUUUGGUUGGCUCUUCCAGUUUUUGUUUUUGUAUUUGAUUUUUCGGUUUUGCUCCAGGCCAGCUAUGGAUGGUUGGAGAAUCGAGCACGAAAGCCUGUGAUAAUGUUGUGCUGGGCUAGUGACAAAGCACAUGUUGGGGCGUACAGUGGUGAAAAUGAUUUCUCUCUUGUAUGUUUACUAUCUUUUGCUUGAGGUGCUUGCUUGCUCGCGCUGCUUGCUUGCGUUGAAUGAUCUGGAAGACAAAAAUAUAAAGACUUUUCUAUCGAACU